GACAUAGGUGGCAAACGUUAUCCGGAAUUAUUGGGCGUAAAGAGUGCGUAGGUGGUUUAAUAAGUUAGUAGUGGUAAAUUGGGGCUCAACUCCAUGGAAGUUACUAAUACUAUUAAACUAGAGGAUCGGAGAGGUUAACGGAAUUCUAUGUGUAGCGGUAAAAUGCUCAAAUAUAUAGAGGAGCACCAAUUGGCGAAGGCAGUUAACUAUUCGGUUCCUGACGUUGAGGCACGAAAGCGUGGGGAGCAAGACGG
rnacentral:rRNA from 1 species